rnacentral:rRNA from 1 species
UACAGAGGUCCCAAGCGUUGUUCGGAUUCACUGGGCGUAAAGGGUGCGUAGGUGGCCUAGUAAGUUUGAUGUGAAAUCUCCGGGCUUAACCCGGAAAUGGCAUUGAAUACUCUUGGGCUAGAGGAUUGGAGGGGGGACUGGAAUUCUCGGUGUAGCAGUGAAAUGCGUAGAUAUCGAGAGGAACACCAGUGGCGAAGGCGAGUCCCUGGACAACACCUGACACUGAGGCACGAAAGCCGGGGGAGCAAACAGG